rnacentral:lncRNA from 1 species
UUUUUCAUGCUGAAUCAUCACAUCUGUUUGGCAGAAAAAAAUUUCCAAAACGUUCUUUCUUCAAUCCUGUUACCAUUUUCAAUUCUCUUUCUUUUUGAAAUUUUCUUCAAUCCAGGUUUCUUAACCAUUCCUCUUCCAUGGCUUCUUCGUUGUAGAUCGACUCAUCUCUAACCAGGUACCUCUUUUCCCCAUUUGCUAAUGUUUCUUUCGCUAUUUUGUGGGCUUGAAAGUUCUCUGAUUUUUGAAUAAACUGAAAAUCUAUUUCUUGAAAUAGCGAACUAUGACUCUUGAUAUCUUUGAUAACUACUCCAAUGAUCGAUUUAUCCAUCUCUGCCGAUUGACAUUUUUUAAUGACUGUCUUCGAAUCUCCCCUUAUUGUGACUGAUCGGGGGCCCAGUGAAAUACCCAGCUUGAUUGCUUGUAAACAAGCGAAUGCCUCUGCAAGAAAUGGGGAUGAGACAUUGGAAUGAAGGGUUGUUUUUAAGACUCUUUAUCUCUCCCCUCCAGUUUCGUACAAUGACCCCCGACGCUGAUCUGGACCUGUUUGCAUCAAAAGCUGCAUCAAAUUGUAUUGUGUCCUCCAUUUUCUCCUCCAUAUGUCUCUGUAUUCUGGCAGUCUUCAAGGUACGUCUUUCCUUACCCACUCCUUCAAGUUCUGCUAUAUAGCUCUCUACUUUCUGUGUAAGGUCCCUUCCUGAUGUGUUUUUUCUCAUGUACCAUUUGAUUUCGUGAGCUCCAUAUGAUCCAUAGCGCAACAAAACAUCUGACACUGUUCCUUAGUUUCUUUUGCAAAUACCCAUGUAAGCCAUGUUCUGGUAUUUUGAUCUGAAUAUGAUGUAACCCAAUCCAUGUUAAUAUUCUGCCAAACUUCAGUAAUUGUAGGGCAUUGCUGGAAUACAUGGAAGCUGUCCUCUUCCUCGGAGCCACAACGAGGGCAUCUCAUGUUUGUGGUUAUUCGCUUGUAUCGUAGGUUGGCUAGUGUAGGAAUAUAAUUCCAGGAUAUCCGCUAGACAAACAGUAGAGUUUUUGAUGGAAGUUGUAAAUCCCAUAACUUUCUAUAGAAUUCUUUAAAAUCUGUCUAUAAUAAGUUAUUAAAAAUCGAAUCAGCUUCUUGUAAUAGUUUAUAGUCACUCCGUACAGAGAACUCUCCGGUCGGUUCACCUUUCCAAACGCGUAAGUCUUCACUGUUCGUUUCUGCAAGUGGUAUCUCCAAAAAUUUUUGAGCUAUAUCUGAUACUAAUAAUGACCUCUGUUUUCCACUUCUUAUUUGUUUCAUCAAUUAAACCUGAUACUAUUUUUAGUUCCCUAUUUUCAUCUCCGUUCUGCCAUGUACUAGGUUCAAUCCUUGGAAUCCACCGAUUUGUCCAGAAGGAAACAUUGUUUCCUCUCCCAACUCUCCAACUUAGCCCCUGAAGGAGGAGUCUCUUUGUUGCCCAGAUGCUCUUCCAGGUAAGAGAAGGUAAAUUCCCUAACUCUGCACUUAAAAAAUCUGAUUGUGGAUAAUACUUUACUUUAAGGACUCUAGCUAAAAGUGAAUUUGGAUAAUUAAAAAGAUGCCACCCCUGUUUGGCUAAUAACACAAUAUUAAGCUGACUGAGAUUACGAAAACCCAAACCUCCCUUUUCUUUUAAACUGCAAAGAUUAUUCCAAGAGCACCAAUGAAUUCCCCCUUUACCAUGACCCUUUUCCCACCAAAAUUUUGCGAUAAUUGCUUCCAUUUCUUCGCAUAAAGUUUUUGGGAGUAAGAAGCAAGCCAUUGAAUAUGCCGGGAUGGCCUGUAAUACAGCUUUGAUGAAAACUUCUUUCCCGCCCUGCGAUAAAAAUCUAGUGCUGCAGUUGUCAAUACGCUGCCUUAGUCUAUCUUUCAAAGCCUGAAAAUAAGCCUUUUUUUUUAUCCUACCAUGGUCUGUAACACCCCUUACUCGAGACCGUUUCCGGAGUCGAGCUCAAGGAAUUACUUUAUUUAACUUAUUAGUUCGGGGCAUAAAAGUUUGCUUUUAAAAUUUAUCUCACUAUCUAUGAUAAAGCUGUCCACUCGCGCAGCAGUCACUAAAUCAUUUAUAACUCGAGCUACGAAACUCAAAAUUUAAAUCUAUAAAUUUUCCUUGAAACUAGACUCAUAUAUAUUCUUACCAUUAAUUUUUUAGAAUUUUUGGUUUAGCCAAUUAGUGUAGUUUAUUAGUUAAAGUCUCCCCUGUUUCACUACUCGAUUGUCCUAGCCUCUUGCCACUAAAAAUAAGUUUUCUCAUUUUGGGAAUUUCAUAUGGUGUUCUCACUUGUUUCUACAAAAAAUAGACUCAAUAAGGAAUCUAGACAUAAAAAUUACAACUCAUUUUUUACAAUUUUUAGUGAUUUUCUAAACUCUGAACAGGGGACUCCAAAAACGGUUCUGACCCUGUCUCACCAAAAUUCGUAUAUCUCAAAAUAUAAAAUUUCUUUUGCUAAAACGUUAUUUUUUCAUGAAAAUAGACUCAACAAAAUUUCAGUAUAUAUAUCAUACACCCUCUAAUUCAUUUUAUACUAUCCUAAGUGAUUUUUCAAAAUCACGUCAUUGCUACUGUUUGAAAUCUGUUUCUUUGCAAAUUAUUACUCUUUCAUGAUUUUUAUGCAUAAUUUAUCACAUAGACAUGUAUAACAACAAACACCUUCAUACUUAACUAUUUUGACAACAAUUCAUCUUUAGAUAUUUACACAUCAUUAUUUAGCAAAAUCGUAAUACAACAUUCAAAAUAAGUAAGUCCAUAUACAUGCCAUAGUUCAAACAUAGUUCAUCACAAAAUACCGAGUCGUUGUGGUUGAUAGUGUGGAUGAUCUCCGACGUCUUUAGGAUCCUCGACUUUGAUUAAUAAUGCUAUAUAAAAAGAAAAUAAACAAAGUAAGAAUAAUGCUUAGUAAAUUUACAAGUAAAUAAAUAGCAACAUUUAACACAAUUAAUAAUACUCAAGUGACAUAAUCUUUAAUUUCCUCUUUACUUACUUCCUUACUCGUUCUCUUGCUUGUUUACUUAGUUAACUCAUAAUUAUGACUUACUUUUCUCUUGCUGAAACGUUGAUUCUCAAUGGGUAACAUAAUAUACUCUUAGCUCUUAUAACUCACUUGAACUUGCCAUUUAUGUUUUUAACUAAACUUUCAUGAACAUAAGUUAUUUACUAGCCUGUUGAGCCACAUUGGAACAAUAAUGAUACUUGGGUCUCUUUCUGAUAAUAACAUGCCAAAACCAUGUCCCAGAUAUAGUCUUACAUGGGAUGUUUCAUGUGCUACCAAUGCCAUGUCCCAGACAUAGUCUUACAUGGGAUGUUUCAUGUGCUACCAAUGCCAUGUCCCAGACAUGAUCUUACGGGGGACCUCUCAUCUCGGUGCCAACGCAAUGUCCCAGACAUGGUCUUAUAUGGGACAUCUCAUCUCGGUGCCAACGUCAUGUCCCAGACAUGGUCUUACAUGAGACCUCUCAUGAUCUCAAGGAUGCCAAUGCCAUGUCCUAUACAUGGUCUUACAUGGGAUCUCUUUACCCAAAUGUCAUGACAUUUGCAUCCAAUACGUUCCUCAUGUUUCAACGGGGCCUUUUAACACUGAUUCUCUGUCAUCUCAUACUUGAGUUAACAUUAGAUAUUUUCAUGAAAUAAAUACAUAAUUGCUGAAAAAUAACAGUAUUAAUAAUAAUUUUUAAAAUAUUGCAUUAAUUUACCGUAAACUUACCUCGAUACCAAAUAUAGUCAAAUCUACCACUUAGUCUUCAAUCUUAUUCUUUCCUUGAUCUAACCUCAAAUUCUAUUCUUUUUGAUCUAUAAUAGCAAAUUUAACUUAUUUAAUACUUACAUUCAUUAAAACAUCCCUCGACUUCAACUUUGGAAAAAUUACAAUUUUUCCCCUAAACUUUUACAUAAUUACAUUUUUCCCCAAAGCUCAGAAAUUAAACUUCAUCUCUUAUUCUUAUGUUUUACAACAUGCUGAACAUUUUUCUCUUCUAUGACAACAUCAAAUUCUUACUCUAAAAUCUACUUAUGAACAUUAGGUAUUUUACCGAUUAUGGAGUUUUACUCGUUUUCGCUUAAAAUCGACUAGCAAAAGUUGUUUAACAUAAUUUUUAACUUCAUAUUAUAUCUUAAAACAUCAAAAUAAACACUUUUCACCUAUGAGUAUUUUUUCAAAUAUAAACCCUAGGUUAAAUUAUUACUAGAAUAAACUAAAUUAAGCUACCGGGAUCGCAAAAAUGUAAAGAACAUUAAAAACGGGGUUUGGAAUCACUUACUAUGAGCUUGAGAAAGUGUGAAAACCCUAGCUAUGGUGUCCAAAUUUUGGCAGCAAGCUUUUUUGGAGAAGAUGAUAUUUUUGCCAUCUUUUUCCCUUUUUAUUCUUUUUAUUAUUCAAUGACUAAAAUGCCCUUCAUUAAAACUUUAGUUAUUUUUAUCUAUGCAUGUCUAUUUUUUUCCAUGGAAAUUUUAUGGUCUAAUUGCUAUUUAAGGACCUCUUCUUUGAUUAUGCACUUCAAAUAAAUCCUUUAUCAUCUAAAACUCAUAUUUACCCACUUUUGCAGUUAAGUCCAAAUAGGCAAUUUAGGCAUGCAAUCAAUAAAAUUUCUUAUCAAUACUCUAGUACUUAUAUCUAAUUACUAGAUAAAUCAUAAAAAUUAAUAAUAAUUUUAUCUUUAAAUUGGAUUUGUGGUUACGAAACUACUAUUCUGAUAACCUUAAAUUUGGGCCAUUACAUGGUCGGCAAACCUAGAUAACAUUCUGGUUCAUUUGAGCUUCGGAUUCCUAGCAAGUUUACCACCUGACUUCUUUCUUCUGCCAUCGUAUUUUUGCUGGAAAAAUAGUUGAUUUGUCCAUAUUCACACACUGUCCUGAACCUCUUUUAUACUCACUUUUGAUUUCCUUGAUUGUAUUAUCCCCUCUACAUGUUGCCUCCCCAAAAAGAAUGCAAUCAUCUGCAAAUAAUAAAUGUGAUACCUGUGGUCCUCUUCUGCUUACUUUGACACCCUUCAAAAAACCUUCAUUUGUUGCUUUUCUCAUAAGACUGGAAAGGCCUUCCCCACAUAUUAAGAAAAGAAAUGGACUCAAAAGAUCACCUUGUCGAAGUCCCCUCGAUGGACUGAAUGUCACCCCGACAUUUCCAUUUACCACAACCUUGUAAGAAACAAUAGUCAUGCAUUUCAUAAUAGUAUCAAUCCAACUUCGAGCGAAACCCAUUCGACACAUUAUUUCUUUAAUAAAAUUCUAUUCAACUCUAUCAUAAGCUUUACUCAUGUCCAAUUUUACAGCCACAUAGCCCUUUUUCCCCACUCUUUUCUGUUUUAGGGAACGCAAUAUCUCGUAAGCAAGCAAAAUAUUAUCCGAGAUUAAUCUUCCUGGCACAAAGGCACUUUGUGCACUAUCAAUGCAUUUAUCAAUCACUCCUCUAAAUCUGUUCGCUAUAACUUUUGCCAUUAUUUUAUAAAUGACAUUGCAUAAACUAAAAGGCCUAAAAUGUGUCAUAUUAGCCGGGUUAUUAAUUCUUUGAAUGAGCACAAUAUGAGUUGUAUUAAUUGAACUAACCUCCAUAUCUUCAUUCAAGAGUUGUAGACAGAAGGAAACUACAUCAUCUCCAAUAAAAUGCCAAUACUUCUGAUAAAAUAAAGCUGGGAAUCCAUCUUCGCCUGGUGCCUUAGUGGGUGCCAUCUCGAACAAAGCCUCGCGGAUUUCUUCUCAUGUAUAUUGCACAGUCAGCUUUUUAUUUUCCUCUUUAUAGAUACAUCAACCAAUACCCGAGAGUAAAUAGUCGAGAUUCUCUUGAUUCUCUGAAGCAAAUAAAUUCUGGAAGUAGGACCUUGCUAUUUCUUCCAUUUCCUGGGGAUCUCCCGUAUCCCUUCCAUGUGCAUUUUGUAACCUCCUGAUCUUGUUUUUCCUCUGUCUUUGGGUUGUCUGGCUAUGGAAAAAAGCUGUAUUUUUGUCACCUAAUUUUAACCAAGUCAAUCGAGCCCUUUCCUCCUUAUAUCUUUCCUCCUUCUCAAACUCCAUAUUUAGUUGAAUCUUCGUAUCGAUCAUCUCCGCCAUGUUAAUGUCGUCCCUGUCAGCAUUGAGCAGCUCAGAUAGCUUUGUUGUUAAAAAUCUCUUUUCCAUUUUUCUUGUUUCGUAUUUUCCCAGCCCAAUUUUCAAGCCCUUUAUUUAGGAUUUUCAUUUUCUACAAAAAAUUACCUAGUGUCAUCUUCCACAGCUGCUAGCUUAAGCAACAAAUGAGUCCUCCAAAAACCACCAGUUUUCAAUUUUGAAUAUAUUCCCAUUUUGUCGUCUUGUUUCCUUUUUAGUAUCAAUUAAAAUGGGACAAUGAUCAGAAAAAGAAUGAACCAAAUGUUGAGCUUUAACGUCAGAAAAUAAUGAAAUCCAUUCCUUAUUUGCCACCCCCUAUCCAACCGUUAUCGUAUAUUUUUUUGGGAGAUUACCUCUUUCCCAUGUGAACCAUUUGCCCGAAUAACCCACAUCAUUCAAUUGACAAAACUCCAGCGCUUUUCGAAACAUUUCCAUCUGUCUUUCAUCACGGGGCAAGCCUCCCUUCUUCUCAAAACCAUACAUGACUUUAUUGAAAUCUCCACAUACUAACCAUGGUAUAUUAUCUCCAUUAGAGAGAUUUUUGAGAACAGCCCAUGAAUCUUCUUUAUCUUGUGCGUACAGGGUACCAUAGAAACCUGUAAAAAGCCACAUAACCUCCCUCUCAUUGUCAUGGACUAUCGCGUCAAUAUGCCUUUUAGAGAAAUUUUUUAAAGAAAUAUUAACGCCAUUCUUCCAUGCCAAACAUAGCCCUUCUCUAGUUCCCUCUACGUCCACCUCAAUGCCAUUCACAAAACCACAUCUCUGUCAAACUCUUUCCAUCUGUUUUCCGUAAAGUUUAGUCUCCAUAAAGAAGACUAUGUGGGGAUCACAAGUCUUCAGCAAGUGCCGAAGUCUUCUAACUGUCCGUGGACUCCCCAAUCCACGAAAAUUCCGACUUAUUAUUUUCAUAAUGCCCGGUCGGCUUGCCUCUUGGCAGCCGCCGAUGACAAAUGAUUAAGAUCCAUUAAUCUCCUAUUUCUUGCCGGGGAAUUUAACUCCUCAGUCUUUGAUAAGUCGUUACUCUCCCUUCUAGAUCUUUUUUUACCUUCUUCUCCUACUAAGGCUACAUCCUCCAAGUCAUGAUCCAUCGCAUGUUGACCAUGGUCUGUCAGUGAGCUAACCUGCUUUGCAUAAUCAAAUAGUAAGCCACCUUCCAGAUUAAUACUGAGAACUGGUUCAAUAGCCUUCCCAAAACUCUUCCUGUGCUCCAUUUUCUGUGGUCCAUUCAUAAAUCUCAUGUUUGCCUCCUGAAUCCCGUCUGAACUCCCCUCCCCUUCCUCUCGUAGCCAGACAAUAUUCAUAGUCAGAGCUCUUCGGGAUUGUGCUUUUAUUGAUAAAUCCCACCCCAUUUCAGCUAUUUUCACUCCAGUCAUCGUUUUUGCCUUACAAAACGAGUCAUUAUGGCCUAGUUUUCCAUAAUAGAAGCAGAAAAGAGUCAAUCUUUCAUAUUUAAAACAGAUAUAUGAUCGUCUCCCACAGAAUUCGAUCAACUUAGACCCUAACCCUCAUAAAGUUUCUAUUUUCUUUCCAUAAAUUUGACACAUCAUAUUCCAUAAAAUACCCCAAAAAAUUCCCUAGAUUCACUGCUAAAUUUUUAGAAAACAAACCAAUGGGCACUUUAUGUAUCUGAACCCAGAAAGGGGUUAGCACUAAAGGGACCUGCAACGAAUCCUCCCCCCACCACAGUCUAUAAAAUAUCAAUAGAUGAUUAUUGAAGGUCCAUGGGGAGCCUUUCAAAACCCUCUCCAUAUCCAUAGAAUGAAAAAAUUAGAACAAAAACCUUUUUCCCCCCAAAUCCCGAAUGCAAACUCCUCGAACAGGAUGCCAUAGUACUUUUCAUGGCUGGAAAGUGAAUUAUACUCGUUGUAAGAAAACACCCCACUAAUUGAAAAAACUAUUCACUUCUUUCCGUACCUAGAUUUUUUUGAAUUUUAAUAACAUCUUUCUCUUCGUUGAUCGAUAAUUGGGCUAAUUCAUUCUCUAUAAUUUUUAGGGACACAACGCCGUAAGCCAAAAAGAAAGACAGAAGAACAAAAAACCUAAAAUUUUGCCAAAGGCAGUAGACACAAACGUGCUAGGCGUUGCUGAAUUAAAAGAACUUACAUCAACAAGAAUAAUCACAAAUGGAAAUGAGCUUUUCGACAGAAUAUGAAACUAAUUAUUCAAGCUCAAUAAAAAAAUAUGUUUUUGUUCUUUUUUUUCUUUUCGAUUUAUUUUUUUUUUGAGAAAUAAGAAAUAAAAUUCAACAAUUUCAAAAAAAAAUGAAACAUAGUUAGGCAACUAACCAAAUCAAAUCUUGACAAAAAGGGGAGUCAAUAAAAACAACAAUUAAGGUGGUUAAAUGGGUUAAAUCUUAAGUGUCUCUAUAAUGUCAAUAUAUUAAAUCAAUAAUGUGGUCUAGAUAUGUAUAAUAUAAGCAAGUUCUAGAAUAACAAAUGAAGUUGACAUACUUUCAACCAAAAAUAAAAUGAUCACGAAUAAAUAUAUGCUCUAUAGGCUCAAAGGCUCACAAAAAAUUAAGGUUUUGAUGUCAAACUUGCAAUUUCAGAGUUUGAAGAUAAUAAUUCAAUUCAGGAAGGCAACCUAAAAUAUUUAUUUCUUAAAAAAUAACUUAUCAUGCUUGACUGUCUCGUGCCUUAAAGACACACAAAUUAAUCCAAAACAAUAUCAAUAAAAAUUUCAAAUAAAAAAAUUCACUCUAAUGGAUAACCUCCUCAGACUUAAGAUAUACAUUGUCCUUAAUGUGCAAAUAGAUGUAAGCACAGAAUAAGACAAUAUCAAAAGAGAGGGAGAACUGAAACUGCCUUGAAUAUGGAUGAAUUCGCCAUAAUAGUGAAAACUGGAAUCGUAAGCGAGUUUAAAUGAAAUGCAUGUUUCUGAGCAAACUAAUAAGAAAAUGAACAAAAAUAAAUAAGAAGGUAAAGAGAUUACAAACUCGAACAAAAAAACCAUCAAAAUAAUAAAAAUAACAACAUAGUUUAAAAUAGAAAUAAAAUAAAUUAGUAUCACAAAAAAUACAACAAUUAAAAAUAAAAGCACAAUUGAAAAUAAAACAAAUAAAGCAAAUAAAAUGAAAAAAUCAGUGAUCGUCGUCGUGAGAGGCGUCAGGAUCGCGCGGAACAUAAGCAGAAUGAGAGAUAUGGAGGUGUUGGUGAAUCGAUGCAAGGUCGCGUAAAUGUUUGUUGAACAGUGCUAACUGUUACUUGACGUACUCAUAAUGUAACCGCUCGAGGUGAUUUAGCCGAUGUGAAAUAUCGUCGAGUGUGACUGAAUGUGCAGGUGUGGUAGUAGAAGGGCUUGGAGAAGUGGGAAUGGGUCGCAGUGCUGGGGGGAGAUCAUUGUUAAGGUGCUCAUUAUCCUUGUGCUAUUAAGUCGCUCGUAGCAACACAUACUGAUCACCGAAAGGCCCAGACUAACGAGCGAUCAUCCUCAUGUGUUUCAUAAUAUUUAAACCUUGUGGUGUCAUGUCCCCAACCAAAGUAAGAGUACUAAUCUGUUCUCGAGUCUCGAUAAGACUGAAGAGACUAGUCAAGAGUGUGAUAUAUAGACCCAUACAAAGAGGUCCUCUCCGUGACCUCUCACCCUGAUUACAACAACACUGAGCUACGAAGUGGGAUAGAUCAAUCAGAUGUUGUCUGUGCAUGCUCUAUAAGAAAUGUGCAUCUAAAGUGCCCAUGACGCUUGUAACGACCCAUUUUCAGUGGUGUUAGAAAUAGUGAUUUUGGGACCACAAUUCUGACGAGUGAAUUAUUAUUUUAUCAUUUAUUUAAUGUUUAUUGGAUUAUAUUAAUGUCGUAUUAAAAUUUUGUUAAGAAAUUUUGAUGUUUAAAUGGUUAAUUAGGUGAAAAGGACUAAACCGUAAAAAGUGUAAAAGUUGAGAGUUCUAUUAGUUAAAGUGGUCCAAUGACUAUGAAAUCAAAAAACUAAAAGGAUUGAUUGGUAAAUAUACCAUUUAAAGUGUCAAUAGAUGUGCAUGGACAAGGUUUUAAUGAAAUUUUGAUAGUUUUUAAAGGUUAAAAUGACAAUUGAAUAAUUAACUUAAAAACAAAACAAAUUAAAAAUGGUAUCAUCUUCAUCCUUGGCUAUCUCCACCAAAAUUUGAAGAGAAAAACAUGAUUAGGAUAGGGUUGAGAAUUCGAUCAAGUUUCUACUUGUAUGUAAGUGAAUUCAAGCUCCGUUUUUAAUAAUUUUUGUGUUUUUAGUUCAUUUUAGUUUAAUCUAGCUAGCCCGGGGGUUAAUUUGCAAAGCUAUUAAUGGUUGAAAGACUUUUCAUGGAUAUUUUUGAAUAUGUUUUGACGUUUUUUGAUGGAUUAUUUAUCUUUAUUGUAAAAUAAACAUGUUUGUUAAGUGAUUUUUAUUGAAUUUUAGAAAUAUGGAUUAGAUUGUUAAAAGUAUAAAUCCAUGGGUUUUGUUGUGAAAUGUUGGUAAUAAUGGGUUGUUUCAAGGUCUCUUUGAACAUUGGUUAAGUUGGAUUUAGGUUAAAAUGAUUAGAGUUUAAGUUAUGAGCUUGAGGACUAAAUUGUGAAAAGUCAAAGUAUUAGGGUAAAUUUUGUAAUUCUUCAUAAAUAUUAAUUAUGGAUUAAAUUUAAUUCUAGAAGUACUUAAUUGAAUGAAAUUAUUUAUUUAGAUCAAGAUAAACCACAAUCAUACUUAAAUUGAAGAAAAGCUAAAGCUUCGGAUUAGUGUUCGAUUAUACUUUUACGCCCUAGUUAUCGAGGUAAGUUCGUAUGAACUAUGAUCGUUUUAAUGUUAGUUAAAUUGACUAUUUGAUGUGUUGUUUUAAUAUAAAUGAAUCUAUGUAUAAAUGUAUCUAAGUUAUGAUGAUUUGACAGAUAACGAGUCUUGUUUGAACCUUAAGAAUUCUUAGGAUACAAAUGACAUGUCAUUUGGGAUUUCAUGUUUCGGGUGUUGGUUUUGAAUGUCCUAUCGAUGACCGAGGUCCUGUAUUUGUUGCGAGUUUUUCAUAGCUCGUGUGGGCAGCAUCGUGUAGCUAACAUUCUGACCCAUAACUCAUGUGAGCAGACCUAUUUCAUAGCUCGUGUGAGCAUUAAUGUAAAGGAAAUGUUACGGUUAUAUGGAAAGGCACACUACGUGUGAGCAUUCCUGAGUAUCUGAUGUAAUUUUAGAUGGUUCAAUGGGUAAGAAAAGGAAAUGAAAUGGUAAGUAUGCAAAUGGAAUGAAUCAUGAUUUUAUAAUGACAUUGAUGAGUUAAAUGAUGUGUUUAUAUAUGGUAAACUACAUAUCUUAUGGUUGAUUUCAUUUGUAUCAUGAACAAGUAUACUAACUUGUUAGUUUGAUGAUGUUGUAUAGGCUUUUACUAAGCUUAUGGCAUUGGUAAUGAUUUAUGCUUAAUCUAUGAAUUGUAUAAAUGAAAUGGUAAGUUAUGCUAAGUUUUUACGAGCUUACUAAGCACUCGUUGCUUACAUAGUUACUUUCUUUUGUUUUAUAGAUUAUUUAAAGCUCGAUCGGUUGGAAGUUAAUCGAAGACCUAUCACACUAUCCAACAAUCAUUUCAAUAGUUUUUUUUUGUGUGUAUUUUGGCCAAGGUUAAUAAUGACAUGUAUAAGAUCUUUGUAAUGUAAGUUUUGGUAUGUUUAAGCUUUUGCAGUUAUGUUGGUUUGGUGCACUUUGAUAUCUUACCAAGUUAUGUCAUAUUGGUCACUUAAGUGCUUUUAAACAAAGUUCUUUUGGUAUGUUUUGAUGGCUUGAAAAUGGCCAUAUGUGGUAGUUAAUUGAACUAGGUUAUUAUGCUUGGGAAUAUACAAUAUUGACUUGUUUUGGUAAGUGAUGUUUUGAUAUAUUUGUGGUGCCUUUGAGUGGCAUAUUGGUUAGAUGAAUUAGGGUGUUUGAAAAGGCAUGUUUUUGUGUAUUUGAAUGAAGUUUAAAUUCCUUGAAUGUAUGCCCAAAUGGUUUGAAUGGUUAGGUAUGAAUUGGACUUGAAAUGGCUUGAUUUUAGGUUAAAUUUUGGGUUCACAUGGCCUGGGACACGGGCUGUCACAUGGCCGUGUGACACACACAGCCUGGCGACACGGUCGUGUGUCAUUUCAAAUUUUUUAGUGAUUCAAGUCAGUGAGUUACACGGCCUGACACACAGGCGUGUGUGGCAACUCAGAGAGUUAUACGACCAUGUGACCCUUCUCAGUGAGUUACACGGGUGAGGAAACAUGCUAGGACACCGUCGUGUGUCCUUUGUUCGAAUGUGUCACGGCUUGGCCACACGACUGUGUGACCCCCGUUUUCAUAUUUUUGCAUCUUUUUCUUAAAAUUUCUAUUUUGUUUCGAUUCAGUCCUGAAUUGUUUCUAAGCUAUUUUUAGGGCCUCGAAGGCUCGAUUUAGGGAUAAAAUGCAUAUGAAUGAUUGGUUUACAAUAAAUUUAAUUUAUUUUAUAUUAUAGUGUUAAAUGAUUUUCGGUUGAAAGGUAAUGCUCUGUAACCCUAAUCUAGCGACGGAGACGAGUUGGGGUGUUUCAAUGCUUGUACUAUUCUUUCGUCUAGUUAAAGUAUGAACUAGAAUGACAUGAAUAUAUUACAAGGUUGGAGGGAGGCACUUAGCCUUAGACUGGCUCGGGUUGCACGGAAUGACAGCCUCAGAGAUUUCUGACGAACAUAGAAAGAUCGAUUAAUGGAUGUGUUGUGGGACGGAUGAGAGCUCGGUCACUACUAAGAAAUCAUUAGAAUAUAGGCUGAGAGUGACAGCAAAAAUUGCAAUACUAAAGUGUUGAGUGAUACCCUCAAGACAGAAUGAUAUAGCUCGUGGGUCAUCCCCCGAGAAUAAUACAGUCGGUAGGAAGAAUGUGGAGAAAAACUUGAAUGUAAGCUCAACAUAUGUCGACUCCACGAUCGUGAAGAAUCGAUCCCAUGGGGUUGCGAUUAAAAGAGAAUGAAUCGGUGUGAAUAAGUCCACAAUAUGGAAGGCAUCCCAAUCUACACGUCUACCCACGCCCAAUGCUCUAUCCUUAAGAUUCUGGCACUCUCCACAUAGGGUGGAUGGUCGAAGGUGAGGUAUUGGUAACGAGUGGUUGUUAUCGGAGAGGAUGAAGAUGAGGUCCAUGUGGCUUUUCUUUUAUUAGAAUAAGUGGGGACCCCACUUUUUCCUCGUCGGUUUUGCAUUUUGUAUCUGAAAUAAAAUAUAAUAACCAAAUAUCAGAUAACCAAAAAUCAAAACCACAAAAAAUAAAUCUAGCAAAUAGACAAAUCAACAUACGAAAUAAAACAUAUCGGCAAGCGAACUACCUCACGAUAAAAGUCAAAUCACAACGAGUCUAACCGAAAUCUACUUCGAAUACAAAACUUGAGCUAAUACUAAUACUAUUGAGGCAAAAAAAAAUUAAACUAACCAACUAAAACUAAUAAUAAUAGAAUAAUAAAAUAAUAACAAUAAUACUAAUACUAAACAAAAUAAACAUAUUAAUAAUAGUAGGAGUAAUAAUAAUUAAAAUAAUAAGAAAAUAAAUAAAAACAAAAAUAAUAAAAAUUAAAUAAAAUGAAAUGAAAGAAUAGGGUUGAGCCAAACGGUGGUAACAGCAAUGGUUGGUGGCGAUGGUGAAUGGAGGCGCGGUGGUAGAAGCGAGUGAGGACGUGGGAGAGGGCUGAUGGUGGUAAUGCACAGGUGAAGAGGGUUAGAACAGAGGGAAAAAAACCAGACGGUAGAGGAAAUGGCAUGAUUGACGGUGGGGGAAGGAAAUGGAAAAAGAGAAGCGCGGGAAGGAAAGGAAACGACAUGAUCGACGGUAGAGGACGUGUGUCUAGCCAAUGUGGAAUGGCCCAGCUUGUGUGGCUCUGAAAGAUUCCUCCGAUUUUUUGAUUUUCGCUCCUUUUGCUUCCAAAUGCUCUCCUAAGUAUAAAAACAUGAAUAUAUAGGAUUAGGGGCAUAAAAUUCACCAUUUUAAAUCGAAUAAUGAUCCAAAACUGCAUUAAGAAUAAGGCUAAAACAUGUUACUUUUGGCAUUUAUCAAUAGGAAAUGGGUUGGUUUGAAAAUAAAUGGAUUGCUUGUCGUAGAAUAUUAUUCUCGGCAUAACUCAAAAUAUAAAAUUUUAAAAAUUAUAUUUAAUACAAUAAAACAUUUAUUAUAUUUAUGGUAGUAUUUUUUAAUGUGGUAUGAAACUCUUAGUUGAUGAAACGUGUUUAGUGGUAGAUUGAAUAGCCUAUUAGAUCAUUAAUUCUGAAGCCAUUAAUCAUAUUUGUGUUUAUUGCAGGGGUUCAAGUAAAUGAGAAGCCUUCGUGAGAAGGAUCUCUCGUUGCAAACUAGAGAUGGGCGAAAUGUAGAGGCAAAAGUAGUGGGAGAAGUACAUUUGUAUUUUGAUAAUUUUAGGAAGAUCAUUUUAAAAAACAUUUUUUAUCUACCUAGUUUUAGGAGAAAUUUAAUUUCUGUUGCAUGUUUAUUUCAAAACAAUUUUUUUUUUACUUUUAAUAAAGGGAUUGCAAUUCAUAAAAA